CGGAUAUAGCACAACGGCAGUGCAUAGGCCUUCCAAGCCCAAGAUGUGAGUUCGAUUCCCAUUAUCCG
rnacentral:tRNA from 1 species